rnacentral:misc_RNA from 1 species
GAAUAGAGGAUGAGAUUCUGAAAACAAAUCCGAUUUUAGAAGCCUUUGGCAAUGCUAAAACUUUAAGAAAUGACAACUCAAGUCGAUUUGGGAAGCUUAUUGAGAUUCACUUUAGUGAGACUGGAAAAAUAUCUGGGGCUAAUAUUCAAACAUUUCUACUUGAAAAGUCAAGAGUGGUUCAAUGUAGCGAGGGAGAAAGGUCAU